GCAAAAUGUCAAGGGGUCUGAAUACUUUCCGAAUGCACUACUUGGUAUUCAGGCAGACACUCUUUGUGUGAGAGCCACAAUCCAAGGCGAGGCAGACGUGAUGAUCUGCCAAGAAGAUAGGCAACGAUGGCAACUCAAGGCGAGCGCAUGUCUCAAUGACAGAACACCUGUCAUAUUGUCUGAACAGCCUGUUCACUCUCCUGUUCCUACUACACAAACUAGAACAGAAACCAAGCCAAAGUAAACCCUGACAGUGCACAGGGGUUAAGAGACAGGAAGACAGAGAGAGACACACACAUUAAGAGGAGAGGAGAGAGAGAGAGAGAGAGAGA